GAGCAGUUUGAUGUGCCUCAGCUGUUUUAUUCACAGGGACUGCAGUAGAAGGUCUACUUUGAAGGGAAGCCCCAUUGAAGAUGCAGAAGGAUUCAGAUUCAUGUUGGUUCCAUUUAGAAUCCAAUUUGGAUAUCUCUCAAAUCAACAUACCACAGGGAGCACCUUCCUGAAGAUAUCAGUGUAGAUCAGGGGUGAGCAAUUAUGGCAACUUCAAAACAACCUGUGGACUUCAACUCCCAGAAUUCCUGAGCCACCCAUAAAUACACACCAGUUGUCAAGCAUCCAAAUUUGGAUCAUGUGACCAUGUGGAUGCUGCAACAGUUGUAAGAAUAAAAAACUGUCAUAAGUCACUUUUUUCAUGGAUGUUGUAACUUUGAAC
ensembl:lncRNA